rnacentral:tRNA from 1 species
GCCUCAGUGGCGGAACUGGCAGACGCACAGGACUUAAAAUCCUGCGGGAUUUAAACCCCGUACCGGUUCGAUUCCGGUCUGAGGCA